AUUUCAUUUGAAUAACAGAAAAUCCUUUGAAGCAAAUGUCACAAGGUAAAAGUCAUAUUGGUUUUUAAGCAUAUACAACUUGGGAUAGUUAGUUAAGCAUUGAACUGGAACAGGGGUGAGAAACGGGCAGUAUUUAAGAGCAUGUGCAGCCCUCUCAGAACUCAUUACAUCUCAACAUUCCGAUGUAACAAAGCCAGGAAUUUUCUUUUCGCAUUUGACCAUUUCCCUUUUAAGAGAUAUAGGUAUAUUUGACACCAAAAACUAUGAAGCUGAAGUUUGCAAAAUUUUGAAAAAAAAUGUUAACAGCAAAUCUCAACUUACAAUUUUGGACUUUUAUAGAACUGAGUCAAAGUAGGUUGCAAAGAGAAAAUGCACAUGUGGAUUCAAUUGUAAAAUGUGUAAUAUAAUUUUUGAAUAAAA
rnacentral:lncRNA from 1 species